rnacentral:ncRNA from 1 species
UAAAAAUUUUAUAUUAGUUUAUUUAUUAAGUAUUAUUUUUUAUUAUAUGUAAAUUUUAAUUAAAAAAUUAUAUUACAGUAAUUAAAUUUAAAUAUUCAAGAAAUUGAGAUUUAGAAAUAAUAAAUAAUAUAAACCAAAUUUGUGCCAGCAGUUGCGGUUAUACAAAUUAUAUAAUUUAAUUAAUUUAAUAUUAAUUAAUUAUUAAUAAAAAUUUUAAAUUAAGAUUUAUUUAGUGAAAUAUUAAAUUUUAAUAAAAUUUUUAUUUUAAAUAUAUUGGAAAAUUUUAAUUAUAAACUAGGAUUAGAUACCCUAUUAUUUAAAAUGUAAAUAUUUAAAUUAAAUUAGUACCAGUUAUAUUCUUGAAAAUUAAAAAAUUUGGCGGUGUUUUAGUCUUUUCAGAGGAACCUGUUUUAUAAAUGAUAAUCCACGAUUUAAUUUACUUUUUUUAUUAGCUUAUAUAUCGUCGUAGUUAAAUAUUUUUAAAGAAUUUAAAUAUUUAAAAUUUCUUUAUAGAGAAGAUUUCAGAUCAAGGUGUAGUUUAUAAAAAAGUAAAAAUGGGUUACAAUAAAUUUAUUUUAGGAUAUUUAUUAUUAUUAAUAAAUUCAAUUUGGAUUUGAAAGUAAUUUUAAUUAAUUUAUUAAAAUGAUUUUAGCUCUAAAAUAUGUACAUAUUGCCCGUCGCUUUCAUUUAAAAUGGAAUAAGUCGUAACAAAGUAGAUUUACUGGAAAGUGAAUCUAGAUUCAA